rnacentral:rRNA from 2 species
GAUUGAUGGUGCUUGCACCUGAUUGAUUUUGGUCGCCAACGAGUGGCGGACGGGUGAGUAACACGUAGGUAACCUGCCCAGAAGCGGGGGACAACAUUUGGAAACAGAUGCUAAUACCGCAUAACAACGUUGUUCGCAUGAACAACGCUUAAAAGAUGGCUUCUCGCUAUCACUUCUGGAUGGACCUGCGGUGCAUUAGCUUGUUGGUGGGGUAANGGCCUACCAAGGCGAUGAUGCAUAGCCGAGUUGAGAGACUGAUCGGCCACAAUGGGACUGAGACACGGCCCAUACUCCUACGGGAGGCAGCAGUAGGGAAUCUUCCACAAUGGGCGCAAGCCUGAUGGAGCAACACCGCGUGAGUGAAGAAGGGUUUCGGCUCGUAAAGCUCUGUUGUUAAAGAAGAACACGUAUGAGAGUAACUGUUCAUACGUUGACGGUAUUUAACCAGAAAGUCACGGCUAACUACGUGCCAGCAGCCCGCGGUUNUUACA